rnacentral:lncRNA from 1 species
UCGAACAAGUGGGUUGUCUUCAAUCGACGAGAUUAAAGAAAUCGAAGAUUCAUUUCGACUCCCAAUAAACUCGACACUUUCAUGUGCUCCAGAACUAAGUUAAAUUGCUCCACGACCAUGAUCUAUUACUACAAGAUGCUCCAUGAGCCCAUUCUACUCAUGUAGUGUCGAAGUUACACCUCAGCAACUAGUCAAGCAUGACUAUUACUAGUGAUUCCCAUUUCUUCCACUUAUUUCAAUAAACUGAAGUUCCCCAAACUUCAUCAAAACUCUACUACGAUACUCUGAUAGAAUUUUCCCCAAAACAUUCUUCCUCUGUCUAGUGCCAGGUCAAUUCCAUUUCUGUUCUUCUCACUAUACCUGGACACUGAAUUCAUCCAGGUUUUCUUCCACAAUUUCGACACCUAUCUGGUGAGUCUUCUACCUCUUGCCAAGUGCUAGGAUGCACUAUUUCUUGUACCAGAGACCUAUCCCAGAAAUUCCUCAGUGCGUUCUAUGGCGCACUUCUCCUGAACUAUCCUACCAACAGUGACAGCAGUAACUGUUGUCAAGAUUCCCUCUUCUUAUGCAGGUACACCAUAAAUCAUUGUCCGUACUGGCGACACUUACCACA